rnacentral:rRNA from 1 species
UACGAAGGGGGCUAGCGUUGCUCGGAGUCACUGGGCGUAAAGGGUGCGUAGGCGGGUCUUUAAGUCAGGGGUGAAAUCCUGGAGCUCAACUCCAGAACUGCCUUUGAUACUGAAGAUCUUGAGUUCGGGAGAGGUGAGUGGAACUGCGAGUGUAGAGGUGAAAUUCGUAGAUAUUCGCAAGAACACCAGUGGCGAAGGCGGCUCACUGGCC